rfam:Dipodomys ordii contig_3438, whole genome shotgun sequence.
UGGCUCAGUGGUAGAGUUCUUGCCUUGCAUGCAUGAGGCCCUGGGUUCGAUUCCUCAG